AUCUUGUUGUAGACCCUCUUCUGAACGUGAGGAAAGGAAAAUCUUUGAUGAAGAGACAGAAGUGGAUUUUUGAAUCUCUAAUGGAUGUAGGAUGCCUACUUUUGACCUGCUGUCUUGAUUAUAUGCACCAUUGCCCUCUACUGGCCAGGAGCAGAGCUAUGAUGGGUCCUUCCAGGGGCAAAGCAGCUCACCUUCCAGAAGAUACUUCAGCUGUGUGAAGAUAACAGCUGUACCGAGAUGCCUUCUUUACUCUCAGAAAGGAGCUGGGGAUUUGCAGUAGCACAAAGUUAAGGACAGCUGCCUCUCUGUAAGUCUGUACUUCCCACUCGGGUAACCUCUUCAUGGUGCCAAUGUUUGUUUAUUACCCGAAGUGUGCUUGAACUAUAUAUUUUUAAAAAGUGGUUUUAUGCUGACACAUUUCUGUGCAAUUUUAUUGCUCGGUAAAAAUACUGAAAUGCUUCAUCUGCUGGAAAAACAGUAUGAUGAGCUAUAGGCAAUCCAGGAGGUUCUUGGAAUGCAUCAAGGGUAACUUCUUAAGCCAAAUAAUAGACAGCCCCACCGGGAGGGAUGCAAUUCUGGACCUGUUGCUUAUCAACACAAAUGAAUUAAUUAAACAGUUAAAGGGUAAAAUUAGAGUGCUAGCUUUCAGGAAAGCCAAAUUCCAGCUUUUCAGGGAGCUAGUCAACAAAACUCCCUGAGAAAUAAGGGCAAGGGAGUGGAGUGAAGCUGGCUUAUGGAAACUUUCCUCAGGGCACAAGUGGUCUCCAUCCCCAGGUGUAGGAAGUCAGGAAAGAAAGGCUAGAGACUGGCAUGGCUGAACCAGAACCUGCUGGUCAAACUGGAGAGCAAGAAGAAAAUGCACAGCAGUGGAAGCAAGGGCAGGUAACCUGGGAUGAGUGUCUGAAUGAUGCUAAGCUGAGUAGGGAUAGAGUCAGAAAAGCCAAGGCCCAAAUGAAGCUAGACUUGACAAGGGUGUAAAGAAGAACACGAAAGGCUUCUACAGGUUCAUCAACCAGAAGAGUAAAGUCCAAGGUGUUCCCCCCCACUAGUGAGCAAUACAGACAGGCUGGUAACAAAGGGCAAGGAAAAGGCUGAGGUACUCAACUUCUUUGCCUCAGUCUUCAGUGGCAACUGCUUUUCAUACACCCCAUUGAGAGGAUGAUCAGAAAAUGAGGGCUGUGAGAGCAUGUCCUUCCCACUAUAAACAAAGAUCAGGCUCACAACUCCCUGAGGAACCUGAACAUCCAUGAGUCUAUAGGUCCCAGCAAAACGUGCUCCAGAUUCCGGAGAGAAAUAGCUAAUGUAGUCACCAAGCUACUCUCAGUGAUAUUUGGAAAGUCAUGGCAGCCAGGUGAAGUCCCUGGUGACUGGAAAAAAGACAACGUCUCAUCCAUUUUUAAGAAGGGUAAAAAGAAUGACCUGGGAACUACCGAUCUAUCAGCCUCACCUUUGUGCCAGGAAAGAUCAUGGAACAGAUCCUCCUGCAAGCUAUGCUAAGGACAGGGCUCUGAGUAACUUGAUGUAGCUGUAGAUGCUUACUGCAGGGGAGUUGGGUUCGAUAACAUUUAAAGGUCCCUUCCAACUCGAACCAUUCUUUGAUUCUAUGCUUAUACAGUUACCUUCUGGCUGAUCAGCAGUAAUGCAUUAAAGCACACUG
ensembl:lncRNA